rnacentral:rRNA from 1 species
UACGAAGGUUGCAAGCGUUAUUCGGAUUUAUUGGGCGUAAAGAGCUCGUAGGCGGUCUGUUACGUCGGAUGUGAAAAUCCAGGGCUCAACCCUGGACCUGCAUUCGAUACUGGCAGACUAGAGUUCGGCAGGGGAGACUGGAAUUCCUGGUGUAGCGGUGAAAUGCGCAGAUAUCAGGAGGAACACCGGUGGCGAAGGCGGGUCUCUGGGCCGAUACUGACGCUGAGGAGCGAAAGCGUGGGGAGCAAACAGG